rnacentral:lncRNA from 10 species
GCGGGAUGGUGAGGCAGCCCAGAACCAGCAAAAGCAGAAAGACUGUACCUCCUGUAGGACUAGAUAGAGACACAGAAGAGUUGGUGUUUUCAGAGUCCUGUAGGUAUUAAGGCAGGAGCUAUUUGGUCUGGAUGUAGCUGGAACCCUGGAGGAGAUGCAGCCACUGCCAGCGAUGCCACCUUAAAGCAGAAAGAAUGGAGUAGAAGUAAUCCAUUUUUUCCCUGACUUCUACUCUUCAUUCUUCUAGAGUACAAGCCACUAGCUUGAAGCCAGGACUUCAAAUACGUGACAAUAGAGACAAAUGAAUGAGGAAAAGAAAUACAAAAAUAUACCUUUUAUCAUGAGGAUUAUUCUUUCCUGAAGGACGCGUGAGACAUUUGGUGCAGAAGACCUGGGUCAGAGGGACUCCUUCGGGAGACCAGUCUCCUGUCCUCAUCCUCACUCCGUGAAGAGAUCCACCUAUGACUUUGGGUCCUCAGACCAACCAGCCCAAGGAACAUCUCACCAAUUUCAAAUUGGGUAAGCGGUCUUUUCACUCUCUUCUCCAGGCUCUCUCGCUACCCUUCAAUCUCCCUGUCCUUCCAAUUCCUGUUCUUUUUCCUCUCUAGUAGAGACAAAGGAGACACAUUUUAUCAGUGGACCCAAAACUCCGGCACAGGUCACGGACUCAGAAAGACAGCCUUCCCUUGGUGUUUAAUCAUUGUGGGGAUGCCUGCCUGAUUAUUCACUCACAUUCCAUUGGUGUCUGAUCACCACGGGGACGCCUGCCUUGGUCAUUCACUCACAUUCCCAUGGUGGUAAGUCAAUUGCGCGGACGCCUGCUUUGGCUGCUCACCCACAUUGCAGUCCAGGGCUACUCCCCACCCCACUUCUCCGUGUCUCUAACCUUCUCUUUAAACUUGCCUCCUUCACUAUGGGCAACCUUCCACCCUCCAUUCCUCCUUCUUCUCCCUUAGCCUGUGUUCUCAAGAAAUUAAAACCUCUCCAACUCUCUCCUGACCCAAAAUCUAAGCGUCUUAUUUUCUUCUGCAAUACUGUUUGGCCCCAGUACAAACUCGACAGUAGUUCCAAGUGGCCAGAGAAUGGCACUUUCGAUUUGUCUAUCCUACAUGAUCUAGAUAAUUUUUAUUGAAAAAUGGGCAAAUGAUCUGAGGUGCCUGACAUCCAGGCCUUCUUUUACGCAUUGGUCCCUCCCUACUCUCUGCUCCCAAUGCCACUGAUCCCAAAUCUUUAUUCUUUCUCUCCUGUCUGUUCCUUCAGUCUCCACUCCAAGCUCUGAGACCUUUGAAUCCUUCUUUUCUACGGACUCAUCUGACCUCUCCCCUUCUCCCCCAGGCUGCUCCUCGCCAGGCCUAGCCACGUCCCAAUUCUUCCUCAGCCUCUGCUCCCCCACCCUAAAAUCUUUCUAUCACCUCCCCUCCUCACACCUGGUCUGGCUUACAGUUUCGUUCUGCGACUAGCCCUCCCCCACCUGCCCAACAAUUUCCUCUUAAAGAGGUGGCUGGAGAAUAGUCAGGGUUAAUUCUCGUUUUUCUUCAUCCAACCUCUCCCAAAUCAGUUAGCAUUUAGGCUCUUUUUCAUCAAAUAUAAAAACCCAGCCCAGUUCAUGGCCCAUUUGGCAACAAUCCUUAGACGCUUUACUGUCCUAGACCCCAGAAGAAGGCUGUCUUAUUCUCAAUAUGCAUUUUAUUACCCAAUCCGCUCCCGACUUUAGAAAAAGCUCCAAAAAUUAGAUUCUGGCCCUCAAACCGCACAACAGGACCUAACUAACCUCGCCUUCAAGGUGUACAAUAAUAGAAUAGAGGCAGCCAAGUAGCAACAUAUUUCUGAAUUGCAAUUACUUGCCUCCACUGUGAGAGAAAUCCCAGCCACAUUUCCAGUACACAAGAACUUCAAAACGUCUAAACCGCAGUGGCCAGGUGUUCCUCCAGGACCGCCUCCCCCAGGAUUUUGUUUCAAGUGCUGGAAAUCUGGCCACUGGGCCAAGGAAUGCCCACAACCUGGGAUUCCUCCUAAGCUGUGUCCCAACUGUGAGGGAACCCACUGGAAAUCGGACUGUCCAACUCUCCUGGCAGCCACUCCCAGAGAACCUGUGACUCUGGCCCAAGGCUCUCUGACUGACUCCUUCCCAGAUCUCCUCAGCUUAGCAGUUGAAGACUGAUGCUGCCUGAUCACCUCAGAAGCCCCCUGGACCAUCAAGGAUGCCGAGCUUCAAGUAACUCUUACAGUGGAGGGUAAGUCCAUCCCUUGUUUAAUCGAUAACGGGGGCUACCCACUCCACAUUACCUUCUUUUGAAGGGCCUGUUUUCCCUUGGCCCCAUAACUGUUCUGAGUAUUGACAGCCAAGCUUCAAAACCCCUUAAAACUCCCCCACUCUGGUGCCAACUUGGACAACAUUCUUUUAUGUACUCUUUUUCAGUUAUCCCCACCUGCCCAGUUCCCUUAUUAGGCCGAGACAUUUUAACCAAAUUAUCUGCUUCCCUGAUUAUUCCUGGACCACAGCCACAUCUCAUUGCCACCCUUCUUCCCAACCCAGAGCCUCCUUCACAUCUUCCUCUCAUAUCCCCCCACCUUAACCCACAAGUAUGGGACACCUCCACACCCUCCCUGGCAACCGAUCACAUGCCCAUUACUAUCUCGUUAAAACCUAAUCACCCCACCCAAUGCCAGUAUCCCAUCCCAUAACAGGCUUUAAGGGGAUUAAA